UUACUCACAUGUACAGUCCCACCAAUACAAUAUUUUAGGGCAAAUCAUUUCAGCCUCCCCAAUCGCCUCCAUCUCUAUUAUCGUUCUCAACUCGGCCCUCUCUUUCUCUGCAACUGCAAAGUACAAAAUCUACAAGAAUCAGAACCCAUAUCGGCAUAUCAGAUAUGAUUUUGAAUAACGACGACGAUGAUGAUUUUGAAACACCCACCAACAAAUUCCAGAUCCACCUUAAACCCUCAAGCGUCUCCGGCGAGGUCGCACCACCGAAUCCACAUCGGCCACCCAGAAGCGGGAGUUGUGGCGUAGUGUCGAUGAAGAGAUUGUUCAAAAUAUCAAAACCCAUAUCCUUUAGCUUCCAUCGCCCGCUGUUCCAGUUCGGGUUCGCCUUUCGCAAGCUUCAGCCUCUGGUCCGCUGUAUUUCAACUCUCAAGCCCUCUCUCUGCAGCUGCUAACUUUGCAAAUCAUUUCAGCCUCCCCAAUCGCCUCCAAAAACAGAGUCCUGAUUGAAGGUACCCAAAUUUGAGUAGUUAUUCAUACCUUGUAGGCCACCUUCUGGAGGACGAACACUGCUUGCAAUAGGAGGUUAAAGGUUUUCGCAACCAAGAUGACCCAUCAUCAUCAUAGGAGCUACUAGCAUUAAGUCUUCCAAAGGGAGUGGGAAAAGACAACAACGGGAGCGUCGAUUGCAUGGCCUAUCAAGUACAUCAAAAUUUGUCAAAGCUAGGAUUGCGGGUUGCGGUUGCCGUUACUUUUUUUUGUUGCCACUAUAUUUUUUGUAUGACUCAUGAAGAAGUUGCAAGAAGAUAUAAAGAAUUUUUGUUUUAUUUUGGUUAAGUAAAUAUAUAAGGUGUGGAUCAUGUACUUCUUUGAAAUUUGUAUAUGGUUAAUUUUUGUCUAAAAUAAUGAUUUGGAAUUGGUUAUAUAUAUAUAUACACGAUGUUAUUGGUCAGUUGUAAA